rnacentral:rRNA from 1 species
UACGGAGGGGGCUAGCGUUGUUCGGAAUUACUGGGCGUAAAGCGCACGUAGGCGGCUUUGUAAGUUAGAGGUGAAAGCCCAGGGCUUAACCCUGGAAUUGCCUUUAAGACUGCAUCGCUAGAAUCGUGGAGAGGUGAGUGGAAUUCCGAGUGUAGAGGUGAAAUUCGUAGAUAUUCGGAAGAACACCAGUGGCGAAGGCGACUCACUGGACACGUAUUGACGCUGAGGUGCGAAAGCGUGGGGAGCAAACAGGGAUUAAGAAACCCU